rnacentral:misc_RNA from 1 species
UCCGAUUUGUCACCGGCAGUCUCCUAUGAGUCCCCGACAUAACUCGCUGGCAACAUAGGACAGGGGUUGCGCUCGUUGCGGCACUUAAGCCAACACCUUACGGCACGAGCUGACGACAGCCAUGCAGCACCUGUGCUGGCCCCUUACGGACACGGGCUUUCACCCGCUUUAACCAGCAUGUCAAGCCCAGGUAAGGUUCUUCGCGUCGCAUCGAAUUGAACCACACGCUCCGCUGCUUGUGCGGGCCCCCGUCAAUUCCUUUGAGUUUUAGCCUUGCGGCCGUACUCCCCAGGCGGGGCACUCAUUGCGUUCGCGUCGGCGCGGGAGGGGUCGAUACCCCCCACACCUAGUUGCCACCGUUUAGGGCGUGGACUAC